CCACAAGCGGUGGAGCAUGUGGUUUAAUUCGAUGCAACGCGAAGAACCUUACCUACUCUUGACAUCCAGAGAACUUAGCAGAGAUGCUUUGGUGCCUUCGGGAACUCUGAGACAGGUGCUGCAUGGCUGUCGUCAGCUCGUGUUGUGAAAUGUUGGGUUAAGUCCCGCAACGAGCGCAACCCUUAUCCUUUGUUGCCAGCGAUUCGGUCGGGAACUCAAAGGAGACUGCCAGUGAUAAACUGGAGGAAGGUGGGAUGACGUCAAGUCAUCAUGGCCCUUACGAGUAGGGCUACACACGUGCUACAAUGGCAUAUACAAAGAGAAGCGACCUCGCGAGAGCAAGCGGACCUCAUAAAGUAUGUCGUAGUCCGGAUUGGAGUCUGCAACUCGACUCCAUGAAGUCGGAAUCGCUAGUAAUCGUAGAUCAGAAUGCUACGGUGAAUACGUUCCCGGGCCUU
rnacentral:rRNA from 1 species